UACGUAGGGUGCGAGCGUUAAUCGGAAUUACUGGGCGUAAAGCGUGCGCAGGCGGUUCGUUGUGUCUGAUGUGAAAUCCCCGGGCUUAACCUGGGAACUGCGUUUGAAACUGAAAGGCUAGAGUGUGGCAGAGGGGGGUGGAAUUCCACGUGUAGCAGUGAAAUGCGUAGAGAUGUGGAGGAACACCGAUGGCGAAGGCAGCCCCCUGGGCUAACACUGACGCUCAUGCACGAAAGCGUGGGGAGCAAACAGG
rnacentral:rRNA from 1 species